UAGUGUUACAGGUCUUUUAGAAUUUGUCUAGCAGGUUUCCCAGUUUUCACAGGAAAACUCCC
ensembl:snRNA U7 U7 small nuclear RNA